GGAAUAUUGGACAAUGGGGGAAACCCUGAUCCAGCAAUGCCGCGUGAGUGAUGAAGGCCCUAGGGUUGUAAAGCUCUUUCGGUGGUGACGAUGAUGACGGUAACCACAGAAGAAGCCCCGGCUAACUCCGUGCCAGCAGCCGCGGUAAGACGGAGGGGGCUAGCGUUGUUCGGAAUCAUUGGGCGUAAAGAGCUCGUAGGCGGCUCAGUAAGUCGGGUGUGAAACCCCCAGGCUCAACCUGGGGACGCCACCCGAUACUGCUGUGGCUAGAGUCCAGUAGGGGAGUGUGGAAUUCCCGGUGUAGCGGUGAAAUGCGCAGAUAUCGGGAGGAACACCAGCGGCGAAGGCGGCACUCUGGGCUGGAACUGACGCUGAGGAGCGAAAGCGUGGGUA
rnacentral:rRNA from 1 species